UAAAUAGUAGAAUAAGCCUCUCUCUCUCCUGUUACUGAAUCCUGACUGGUUAUCGGUAUGACUUCGGUGCAGGGCUCGGUUGUUGUAACCAUGUCACGGUUUAUCACUAGAACAUCGAUGUCGGUUGCUUCAUAGUCGGCCGGUGCAGGGCCCGGUACCGGGGCCAUCAGACUUCCAACACACUCGUGGCUCCAGUCGACAACGGUAUACUUUAUUUACUGCACUUGGAUAAUUCAAGAACUCAGUACUAAUAACCCAAUUCUCAUUUUCGUUGCCACCUACGAAGCGGCAAUCCAUCGUCGUGCCGUUCUAAAUGUCAUGAUAAAACAGCUCAGUCACGAAACCUAGCUUCCUAGGAAGGGCGUCGACUCAAGGAAGGGGUCGACAGAUCAGUCACGAAACCUAGCUUCAGGGGAGGGGCGAAGAAGAAUUUCGAAGCUCAGUCUUAGUUAGGGGAGGGGGUUGCGUUCCGUCUGAAGAAGAAGGGAGUAAGCAGCAGGAGGGUUAGUGGCCUAGGGCCUUAGUUGGUCCUGGUCCUGGGGAGCAUGAAGUACAGUCGCUCGUUAGACUCCGCCGCCGAGGUAGUGCGUCUACAACUACCUUCCUCCUUACUUGUACAACUGUAUAGGGUACAUCUAAGGGACCUACUUGGAGAUGAUCCCUUCAGAUCAAUACUGCCACCGCCUAGCCUUCAUAUACUGGGGUCUUCCGUUCUGAACGCCCUACUACUACUGUCCUUUUUCCUUGUUAAUGUGACCAGUAAAGAAAAGAGUUUAAACUAACGCGUCACCCGUGUCACCAAUCGUUUAUAAUAACAUUCGAGGCCCAGUUAAAAACCAUCCAACAAAGGGAAAAGAAGCCUAUUGCUUUGGUCGUUAGGUCAUAUAGAAUCAGGAAACGUCCUUCUUUCUAACCUGUUAAAUUCUGCGUCUAACUUUUAGGGAAAACUACCAAGGGCAUAACUCGUGGUUCUGCGGAACUUUGUUGACACCUUCAAUCGAAUGGGUUCAGCGCUCUAAGGAGGAGAUUUUAGUCUUAGCACCUUCCUCUACCCAACCGUUCCGUGACUAGGUAGUUGUCUAAAGUCCCCACCACCUAUGUAUAGUAACCUCUUGGAGUAGAAAAAGCGAUCCUUGAUGGGUCGUAGGAAAGUUUACGAAGACUUGUUUCACGUUCCAGUUUCUCGUCUAACCCUCAUGGGAAAACGUCAACGACGACAAGGUAGAAGUUUCAGUCCUUAGGCAAAGGACCUUGAUGAGCCUGCUCUACUUUUACGCAAACUAGUGGAGAUAACACAUCGGAAAGCCUACGAGCUACGGGUCACCGAGCACUUUGCACGAAGUAUAUACCUCAAGUUACUCCACUACUUUAGGUGCUCUUGAGUCAACCUCGCACUUGACCAAAAUCUCCUACAUAACCGCCAGUUCCUGGAUGGCAGAAUGUGUUACGACCUGUUUAUUAUCUCGAAGACGUAAACUAAACGGCACUCUAUAUUGACUGAGACGAUACCCCCUUUCCCCGAGUCUGUCUUCCCAAUGAAUACUACACAGUCACAGACCACUAUUUAACACAUACCGGGGAACAACACCGAUAUAUAACAACGUACGUCAUGUAAUAACUUGAACUAGUACCGAUCCUUCUGUCAUGUAGUGUGUCUGUAGGUUUUAAAACUCCGCAACAUGUACAGACAUGGAUUAUUAUUUCCCUGAUAACGAAGACCGCCAUGUAGUACCUUUAAUGGAAAAUUUCCAGCUGUUUAAUGGGUAAUACGGUGAAUAUUCACUCACUUUUUACUAAGUAUUCAAGUACGUGACAUAAAAUCAAAUAAUGGUCCGCUGGGCGAAUAAAUCGUGUUGGUAC
rnacentral:rRNA from 1 species